rnacentral:rRNA from 1 species
UACGAAGGGGACUAGCGUUGUUCGGAAUCACUGGGCGUAAAGCGCACGUAGGCGGAUUUGUAAGUCAGGGGUGAAAUCCCGGGGCUCAACCUCGGAACUGCCUUUGAUACUGCGAAUCUCGAGUCCGAUAGAGGUGGGUGGAAUUCCUAGUGUAGAGGUGAAAUUCGUAGAUAUUAGGAAGAACACCAGUGGCGAAGGCGACUUACUGGACACAUAUUGACGCUGAGGUGCGAAAGCGUGGAGAGCAAACAGG